UCCUCUAACCUCUACUUCACUACUUCUAUUUUGAUAAGAUAAUAUUUAGUAUAUAAAAUCUCCAUUUAAUUAAUGAACCCAUAAUUUCUAAUUUAUGUGUUAUGAACUGAUAUCUAAUUUUUUCGGCACACAUAUUUAUCUUCCUGUGUUUCUUUGUUUUCAUAACAAUACCCUUAAAGCCAUAUUCUUCAUUCAUAUUCUCACUAACAGUUUCCCCGUAAUAAUGAGUUCGUACAACUUAAAAUUUAUUCUCCUCUUUUUCUUAGUGAAUAGAUUUGUAGAUUCCAUCGAAGACAACCUUCGAUUUCCGCAAAACUUUUCAAUAGGAUCCGCAACGGCUUCUUAUCAAGUUGAAGGCGGUUGGAAUGCUAGUGACAAGGGUGAAAACAUUUGGGAUUGGUUUACACAUCUAAAGCCUUCGAGAAUAUUCGAUGAAAGUACUGGAGAUGUUGCUUGUGACUCAUACAGUAAAUAUAAAGAAGAUGUGAAGAUUUUGAAAAAUAUUGGUUUUGAUCACUACCGUUUUUCAAUAAGUUGGUCACGAAUUUUGCCAAAUGGUUUCGCGAAUAACGUCAGCAAAAACGGUAUCAAAUAUUACGCUGACCUUCUCGACGAACUGAAUUCAAAAGGUAUUACACCCUAUGUAACACUCUAUCACUGGGAUCAUCCAUCAAUUUUGGAGAAAUUAGGCGGAUGGACCAAUAAACUAAUGGUCGAGUGGUUUGCCGAUUACGCCAGAAUAGUAUUUCGGGAAUUGGGUCCAAAAAUAAAAAUCUUCCUCACAGUCAACGAGCCAACGGUAUUUUGUGGAUUUGGUUAUGGAUCUUUGCAAAGAGCACCAGGUAUAAACUUGCCAGGUUUGGGAAAUUACUUAUGUGUUCAUAAUGUCCUAAAAGCCCACGCUAGAGCAUAUCAUAUUUACGAUAAAGAAUUUCGUCCUCAACAAAAUGGUCUAAUUAGCAUUGUACUACAUUGCACUCGCUUCUAUCCUGAUGAUCCUAAUGACACUCUACUGGACGAUAUUGGAUUUCAAUUCUCCUGCGGAUGGACAGCACAUCCAAUUUUUUCAAAAAAUGGCGACUAUCCAGAAAUAAUGAAGAAUAUAAUAAGGAGGAAGAGUUUACUCCAAGGUUGGUCGCAAUCCAGACUACCCAAUUUCUCCCAAAAGUGGAUUUCCUACAUCAGGGGUACAGCUGACUUUUUCGCCUUAAAUCACUAUACGGCAAGAAUUAUACAAAAUAGAACAGGAUACAUUGGACCGUUCUUUAACGAUCUGGACAUAAAUUUAACCGUUGAUCCAAAUUGGCCAACAACUGAGAGCGAAUAUUUUUUUAUCGUACCCGAGGGUUUUAGAUCAAUUCUCAAUAGAAUAAAGGAAGAGUACGCAAAUCCACCGGUCUAUGUAAUGGAGAAUGGAUUUUCCAAUUCAGCUGUUCUAGACGAUGUGCAACGAUUGAAUGGUAUAAAGGUUUAUUUGAAGGCACUAUUGAUGGCUAUUCAUAAGGAUGGUUGUAAUGUCAAGGCGUACACUGUUUGGAGUCUUCUUGAUAAUUUCGAAUGGGAUAGAGGAUACAGUGAACGUUUUGGAAUUGUACAUGUUGAUUUUAACGACCCCGACAGAAAGAGAACAUUAAAACAAUCUGCAAUGUGGUUAAAAAGUAUGCUAUCAAAACGGGACCUUAACGCAGCCGAUAAUACUGUUUAUUAAAGAAAAAAAAAUUAUUUUCUCAGAUUAUGCUAUGUGGAAAUGAUGCAAGUUCAUGAAAAAUUUUUUAUAUUGCUAUAUUUUUUUACUCAUCUUUAAGUUUAAAUAAAAUGUGUAUAGAAUUUUUAUGCAGUUACGAAAGUUUUUCUUCCAUUUUCAGCCACUGUUGUUGUAAAAUUUUUAAAAUAGUUUAAGUGCUAAAAAAUUAAGAAAGUGGUUUCGAAAAAAUGAGAUUCAUCAUCUUCGGAAUUAUUCCAGCAAUUCUUCUACUUUCAUUUGGAUUUAUGAAGAAAACUGCAAGCGCUUCAAUGGUAGGAAACUCAAGAAAUAAACAUGUAAAUGAAUUUUCAAAAUUUGGUUAUAACAUUAAUGGACAUUAUAAAGCAAAAGAGGGAAAUGAAUAUGGAAAGCAUGAAAAAAUUGGUGGAAAAAAUGAAAAUUAUAUGGGACAAAAUUAUGGAACAUACGAGCAUGGAAAUAGAGCUAAUAUUCGAAAUAGAAUUAUAAAAAAAAUUAAUGAACGCGAUAAUGCAGUAACUGGUUGGCAUUUAAAGGCAACUAAGUUAAUUAAUAAAAUUUAUGAAAUUUUAGAAAUUGUUCAUCCUUUAAAACUAUUGAAAGCUCUUCAAUAAAUGAUGAUUCACUUUUUUUCUGAAACUUUUUGAUAAAGAAGAAAAGAAAAAAUUUAUUGCGAAAUAAAUAUAUGAAAAUUUUAUAAAAGAAAAUAAUGAAAAAUUUAAAAAAAUAAAUGAAAUGGUAUUAUUUUGAAGAAAUCUGAUAAAUUCAUGUAUUUAAUGCCUAUUUUGUUGUUAAUAAAGUUUACAAUGUAUUAAUUGAGAA